UCGGUAGGGCCCUGCAUCACCU
rnacentral:misc_RNA from 1 species